UACAGAGGUCUCAAGCGUUUGUUCGGAUUCAUUGGGCGUAAAGGGUGCGUAGGUGGCGCCGUAAGUCAGGUGUGAAAUCUCGGGGCUUAACCCCGAAACUGCACUUGAUACUGCGGUGCUCGAGUACUGGAGAGGAGAUUGGAAUUUACGGUGUAGCAGUGAAAUGCGUAGAUAUCGUAAGGAAGACCAGUGGCGAAGGCGAAUCUCUGGACAGUUACUGACACUGAGGCACGAAGGCCAGGGGAGCAAACGGG
rnacentral:rRNA from 1 species